UACGUAGGUGGCAAGCGUUGUCCGGAUUUACUGGGUGUAAAGGGCGUGCAGCCGGAGAGACAAGUCAGAUGUGAAAUCCGCGGGCUCAACCCGUGAACUGCAUUUGAAACUGUUUCCCUUGAGUGUCGGAGAGGUAAUCGGAACUCCUUGUGUAGCGGUGAAAUGCGUAGAUAUAAGGAAGAACACCAGUGGCGAAGGCGGAUUACUGGACGAUAACUGACGGUGAGGCGCGAAAGCGUGGGGAGCAAACAGG
rnacentral:rRNA from 1 species